GACGAACCGUACGAACGUUAUUCGGAAUUACUGGGCUUAAAGGGUGCGUAGGCGGCGCAGUAAGUUGGGUGUGAAAUCCCUCGGCUUAACCGAGGAAUUGCGCCCAAAACUACUGUGCUCGAGGGAGAUAGAGGUGAGCGGAACUUAGGGUGGAGCGGUGAAAUGCGUUGAUAUCCUAAGGAACACCGGUGGCGAAAGCGGCUCACUGGAUCUCUUCUGACGCUGAGGCACGAAAGCUAGGGUAGCAAACGGGAUUAGAUACCCCGGUAGUCCUAGCCGUAAACGAUGAGCACUGGAUCGAAGGGUCCUCCAUAGCCUUUCGGUCGCAGCGAAAGUGUUAAGUGCUCCGCCUGGGGAGUAUGGUCGCAAGGCUGAA
rnacentral:rRNA from 1 species